rnacentral:misc_RNA from 1 species
UCGUUGCCUUUGAAGAACAUGAUCGGUGCACAUGUGAUAGAAUGCUGUCGGGGAGGCACUGCCUCCUCGGCCCCACCGGCCCCGACCCUCUCACCCUAUGGGUGCGUUGGUCGUGGGUCGGAAUACGGCGCGGGAUGACGCCAAGGAACACGAGAAUGCUGAGGCACCGGCGAGCCGCUCAAGGUUUACGCCGGCUGUCAAGGCCAAUGAAAUAAA